rnacentral:rRNA from 1 species
AACGAACGCUGGCGGCAUGCCUAACACAUGCAAGUCGAACGAGACCUUCGGGCCUAGUGGCGCACGGGUGCGUAACGCGUGGGAACCUGCCCUUAGGUUCGGAAUAACUCCCCGAAUGGGGUGCUAAUACCGGAUAAUGUCUUCGGACCAAAGAUUGAUCGCCUUUGGAUGGGCCCUCGUUGUAUUAGCUAGUUGGUAGGGUAAAAGCCUACCAAGGCGACGAUACAUAGCUGGUCUGAGAGGAUGGUCAGCCACACUGGGACUGAGACACGGCCCAGACUACUACGGGAGGCAGCAGUGGGUAAUAUUGGACAGUGGGCGAAAGCCUGAUCCAGCAAUGCCGCGUGAGUGAUGAAGGCCUUAGGGUUGUAAAGCUCUUUUACCCGGGAUGAUAAUGACAGUACCGGGAGAAUAAGCUCCGGCUAACUCCGUG